GGUUCUGUAGUGUAGAGGUCAUCACACUGGAUUGUAUGUUCUUCCGUUCCGACAACCAAUUAGAUUUAGACUAACAACAAAUUCUUCAGUUGACUCAGAUUCGAAAUCUUCCAGUAACCCCGGUUCGAACCCGGGCAGGACCU